UAACGGCUCACCAAGGCGAAGAUGGGUAGCCGGCCGAGAGGGCACACGGCCACACUGGCACUGAAACACGGGCCAGACUCCUACGGGAGGCAGCAGUGGGGAAUCUUGCACAAUGGAGGAAACUAUGAUGCAGCGACGCCGCGUGAGCGAUGAAGCCCCCCGGGGUGUAAAGCUCUUUCGACGGGAACGAUAAUGACGGUACCCGAAGAAGAAGCUGCGGCUAACUACGUGCCAGCAGCCGCGGUAAUACGUAGGCAGCAAGCGUUGUUCGGAAUUACUGGGCGUAAAGAGUGUGUAGGCGGUGCUCUAAGUCUGGUGUUCCGGCUCAACUGGGAGGGUGCGCCGGAAACUGGAAUGCUAGAGGGUGGGAGAGGUAAGCGGAAUUCCUGGUGUAGCGGUGAAAUG
rnacentral:rRNA from 1 species